CGCUUGGAUCAUCAGACCACUGUG
rnacentral:siRNA from 1 species